CUGAAGCUCAUAUAUCUGGAUGAGAGAGACAGCGAGCGGGACUGUCAUCACCAGGCUACUGAGAGCAUCUCCUGUUUGGGAUGCUGAGAACCUGAAUGACCUUCUUCCAUAAAAAAUCGUUACCUUCUUUGUGCUAUUUAUGAUGCACCAGAUUGCUUUGGGGAGAUGGUUAUGAGAUGCAGAAAGAGAAGAAGACGACAGCUCUGAUCACCCUUUGAUUACACUGAGUUCCUGGCCAACCUUCAGCCAUGAAGAUCCU